rnacentral:lncRNA from 1 species
UGUCAAAUGAAACAUCAAAGUAACUGAAUUAAAAUUUCUUGUCAAUGUCUAUUACAAUUUAAAGGAAAACUUGAAACAAAAAAUUAAACAUUUUGUAGGCUUACAUAUGGAUCUCACAUAUAUGUGUCCAAUUAAGUUGUAACCUUAAAAACUUUUCCAACAUUUGGAUAAACAUGUUUGAACUCAAUUCGAAGCCUAUCACCAAAUUGUAUUCCAUUGUCAAAACAAAAGUUUUUCCAUCCUCCAACAAUCUGCACAUUUUCAGAAGGAUUGGUUGGAUACUUUAAAUGUAUCUUUGAACUGUUUGUUCCUGGUACUUCAAGAAUGAGGCUUUGCAAAUUGAAAUCACGAACAUAUUUUGAUAAUUCAUUUGGCAAAGUCUAUAAAACAAAAUAUGAAAAAUUAAACCAAUAAAAAUAAGAGAUAAUAAAUAUCAUAAACAUUUUAAAAAACUAACUUCAGAUGUGAAAAAUGAAUAGAAAAGAGAAUUUCUUACAAUUUGUGUUUGGCUGCAACGGUUUAAAUGGUUAAUACUGAAUUCAAAGGUAUGUACAUCCGGAAUUGGAUGAUCUGCAAAUCUCAAUGGAAUAAAACUUACUGCAUAAGUGUUAGGUGCAUCUUCAACUCCAGCAUUUGUGUUGUUACCUCUGGAAUUUUCCAAUCGAUCAUAAUAAUCUUCACCAUAUUUUUCAAGGAAUUCAGCGUAAUCCG